UACGUAGGGUGCAAGCGUUAAUCGGAAUUACUGGGCGUAAAGCGUGCGCAGGCGGUUGUGCAAGACCGAUGUGAAAUCCCCGGGCUUAACCUGGGAACUGCGUUUGAAACUACAAGGCUAGAGUGUGGCAGAGGGGGGUGGAAUUCCACGUGUAGCAGUGAAAUGCGUAGAGAUGUGGAGGAACACCGAUGGCGAAGGCAGCCCCCUGGGUUAACACUGACGCUCAGGCACGAAAGCGUGGGGAGCAAACAGG
rnacentral:rRNA from 1 species